AAAAAAAGAAAGAAAUGACAUUGAAUAGACGUUUGCAGGGGUAGGAGGCUGCUGUGGGUGGCUGUGGCAGUGUGGGCAGUUGGCUGCAGUAAGGCACUGCCACUGCCACAGCAGUGUAAUUUACUGUGUAUGUUCUAAUCGAACCGCCGGUUCGAUUCGAGUUAAACUGACGGUUUUAAUUCGAAUCAAACCGACGGUUCAACGGUUUUGUAAUAUCUUGAACCUGAACCAAACCAUG
rnacentral:misc_RNA from 1 species